rnacentral:misc_RNA from 1 species
AAGACUAUAGACCUGCGGAGUACCUGCGGAGGGAUCAUUCACAAUAAGUGUUUUAUGGCACUUUAAUUCCAUAUCCACCUUGUGUGCAACGUAGUUCGUUUUUCGAACAAAACAUCAACAUUUUAAUUAUCAACAGAUCGUCUGAAGUAUUAUAUGAAUAAAUCAAUUCAAAAUACAACUUUCAACAAUGGAUCUCU